AACAGAAUAUUCUGUCUUCCAGACACAAAUCCACUAAUAACAUUCAUGGUACUUCUGUAAAAGUAGGCUAUUCAUUAUAGGUGAGAACUAAUGUAUGUGUCCAGGUGAACAAUGGAGAAAUCUUUCAUUUUCAUCAGUAAUGGAUAAUGGAAUCUUUGGGUAGGGAGGGGUGGUAGUGAAGUGCUUAGAUUCUGGAGUAAAGUAGAUGCAGGUUUGAGUCCAAGCUCUGCUAUUUAAAAAUAAUGAUGGCUCUGUUACUUAAUUUCUUGAGUCUUUUUCCUUGUUUGUAAAAGGACAAAAUAAUUUCUUCACAGUUUUCUGUAGGUAUAAAAGAGAUAAUGCUCAUAACGUUCUUGACACUUACCCAAUGACUUGACAUAUAGUAGCAAAACAUGUUCCACAAUCACAGCUAUAAAUCUUAUGGAAGGAGAUUGAAUCUCAGCUCCAAAACUUAGAGGUGCAAAAACCAUAAUUUCAUUUUUCUAAAAAAAAAGAAAAAAGAAAACCCUUGAAAUCUAACCAGGAUAGAAGAUGUCCUACUCUGGAUUUUCGUUCUUUUUCAUUCCCUUACUGGAGCCUCAAGGGCAUUAGUAGAGUGCAGGAUCAUAUGGCAGCUAUUUUUAGUUUUUCGAGGAACUUUGAUAUUAUUUUCCAUGAUGGCUCUACCAACUUACGUUCCUGAUAAUGGUUUAGAGGGAUUCCUUUUUUCCACACCUUCUCCACCAUUUUUCAUUUGUAGACUUAUUAAUGAUGGUCAUUCCGACCAGUAUGAGGUGUUACCUCAUUGUAGUUUUGAUUUGCAUUUCUCUGAUAAUUAGUGAUAUUGAGCAUUUUUUUUGUGCCCAUUAGUUAUCUGUCUGUCUUCUUAGGAGAAAUGUAUAUUUAGGUCUUCUUCCCAUUUUUUUGAUUGGGUUGUUUGUUUGUUAUUGAAUUGUAUAAGCUGUUUGUAUAUUUUGGAAAUUAAGGCCUUAUUGGUUGUAUCAUUUGCAGAUAUUUUUUUCCCAGUCCAUAGCUGGUCUUUUUGUUUUGUUUAUGGUUUCCAUUGCUGUGCAAAAGUUUAUAAGUUUUAUUAUGUCCCAUUUGUUUAGUUUUGCUUUUAUUUCUAUUGCCUUGGCAGACUGACCUAAGAAAACAUUGGUAAAAUUUGUAUCAGAGAAUGUUUUGCCUAUGUUCUCUUCUAGGUGUUUUAUGGUAUCUUGUCUUUUUGCCAUUUUGAGUUUAUUUUUGUGUAUGGCAUGAGGGUAUGUUCUAACCUCAUUGAUUUACAUGUGGCUAUCCAACUUUCCCAAUACCACUUGCUCAGAUACUGUCUUCUAUCCAUUCUAUAUUCUUGCCUUGUUUGUUGAAGAUUAAUUGUCCAUAGGUGUAUGGGUUUAUUUCUGAGCUCUCUCUCUUGUUCUGUUGAUCUGUAUGUCUAUUUUUGUGCAAGUACAAUGCAGUUUUGAUUACUGUAGCUUUGUAAUAUUGUCUAAAGUCUAGGAAGGUUAUGUCUCCUGCUUUUUUCUGUUCCCCCUCAGGACUAUUUUGGCAAUUAUGGGCCUUUUAUGGCUCCACAUAAAUUUUAGGAUUACUUGUUCUAUCUUUGUGAAAAAUAUCAUGGGUAAUUACACAGGGAUCACAUUACAUUUGUGAAUUGCUUUGGGUAAUAUGGCUAUUUUAGCAAUAGUAAUUCUUCCAAUUCAAUAGCAUGAGAUAUCUUUCCAUUUCUUUGAAUUAUCUUCAGUUUUCUUUAUUAAUGUUUUGAGGUUCUCAGCAUAUGUCUUUUACCUCCUUGUGAGAUUUAUUCCUAGGUAUUUUUUUUGUGUGUGUGAUUUUAAAAGGGAUUGUUUAUUACAUUCUCUGUAUUAUAUUUCAUUUUUAGUAUAAAGAAAUGCAACCAAUUUCUGUAAAUCUUAAAUCCUACUACCAUGCAGAAUUUAUUUAUCACUUCUAUUAGUUUUUGUGUAGAGUCUUGUGGGUUUUCUAUAUAUGAUAUCAUCUCAUCUGUGUGUAGUGACAGUUUUAUCCAGGUCUUUUAUUUACUUAAAAGUCUACUAAUUAUUUUGGUAUAAACUGCAAAAGCAGAUGGUUCUGCUAAUGAAGAACUUACAGACUUUGUGGGGGAGGUAAAAUGUAUAAAUGUAUAUGUACAAGAAAAAUUUGACACGGAGAAAUAGAAAUUACAAAUUGUAAAUUGCACAAGGAGGAACUGUUCCAGGAUUUUCCUAAUGGGAGGAGAAGAGAAUGGUCUAUAUAGUUUAACAGAAGUUUCCUAGAGAUUCUGUUUGACAUUCUUUCUUCCUUUUGGAAUUACUGUAUAAAAGGCAUGUUGGAUUUCACCAAGUACCAUAAGAUGAUAAACAGUUUGUAAAAAUAAGGACUAUUUGGAGAUACCAUUGAGAUAAAAUGAUAAAAAGCAAUAAUUUAGCUAGAGUCACCUAGCACUAGGGCCCAUUCAGGAUCUAAUGGAAGAGAUAGACACUGCAUUUAGGAAGGAACAAAUUGUAGCUAAUUAUAAAUGGGAGGGGAUUAAAGGUAGACUUGGGGGAAGGUAAGCAAUAUUAAGGAGAAGAAACCUAAGAAAUAGUCAUCGGAGCCAGUGUUUCUACAGAUCUUAUUGUGUGGUAGACACUGUCCUGAGCACUUCUGUCAUAUUCACUGAUUGAAUCCUUACAACUCUAUGAGAGAAAUAUUCCUAUCCUCAUUUUAUAGGCAAGGACACUAAAACAUAUAGUAAGUUAUUCAAGUUACAGAGGUAAGAGCAGUGGGGAUAGCAUUUGAACCUGGGUUGUGUGGCUCUGUAGCUUAUGUUUUUAGCAACUAAUUCUCAAGCAAUUCUAGAGUAAAUAAAAAGAACUCAGAACAGAUAAAAUCUAGAAGGUAAAGAAGAAGAAGUCAAGGCUGGUUCCUUCAUUUUAAUCCUAAAUGAUUAAAAGAAAUUUUGCAAUAAUGAUGGGAAAAAAGUGAGAUGGAAAGGAGGUAGUUUCAUUAUUUAGUUUUCUGGUUAUAUAAAGAUAUACAUGUAUAUAUAUACAUAUAUAUAUAUGCUUUUGUUUGUACAACCUAAUUUGCAUAUAGAUUUGGUAAAAUAUCAGUUGUUUAAGGAUCUCUAUUCUAACAUCUACUCUUACCCUCAUGAAAUACAUACUCCAUGGUAUCUUUGUGAUAAGACAAGUUUUCCUAUAAUCCAGGGGGUAUUUUAGAAAAUGAAGUUUAAGUUUCUUGUCCUAGUUAUCUUUGUGUUUAUUUAUAACAGUGUGUUAUUUAUAGCAUUUAAUUUUGUCAUUGUCAUGCAGUGAUCUUGUGGGAGGGGGCUUUUCCUUUAACCAUUUUGGUAAUUUGAAAAUGAAUUAUUUUCAGAAAGCUUUCUGAGAAUUAAUUGGCAGGGAGCACUCCAUCCAUGUCUCUCAAGGUUGUGAGUUUUAAGGUAAAUGCAUUUUGGCUUGGCCCUUUUAUUCCAGUCUUGAGAAAUAAUUGUUAUAUAUGUAGUAUAAGUUUAAGAUAUAUGGCAUGAUGAUUUGAUUUAUAUAUAUUGUGAAAUGAUUACCAUAACAGGUUCAGCUAACAUCCAUCUUCUCAAUAGAUACAAUAAAAAUAAAAGAAAAA
rnacentral:lncRNA from 1 species